AUUGAACGCUGGCGGCAUGCUUUACACAUGCAAGUCGAACGGCAGCGCGGGGGCAACCCUGGUGGCGAGCGGCGAACGGGUGAGUAACACAUCGGAACGUACCCUGUCGUGGGGGAUAACGAGUCGAAAGAUUCGCUAAUACCGCAUACGACCCGAGGGUGAAAGCGGGGGAUCGCAAGACCUCGCGCGACUGGAGCGGCCGAUGGCGGAUUAGCUAGUUGGUGGGGUAAAGGCCCACCAAGGCGACGAUCUGUAGCGGGUCUGAGAGGAUGAUCCGCCACACUGGAACUGAGACACGGUCCAGACUCCUACGGGAGGCAGCAGUGGGGAAUUUUGGACAAUGGGGGGCAACCCUGAUCCAGCCAUGCCGCGUGAGUGAAGAAGGCCUCGG
rnacentral:rRNA from 1 species